GAUCAACGCUGGCGGCGCACAUAAGACAUGCAAGUUGAACGGACUUAAUCGAAAUAUUUAUAUUUUGAAGCGGUUAGUGGCGGACUGGUGAGUAACGCGUAAGGAACCUGCCUAUUAGAGGGGAAUAACAGUGAGAAAUCAUUGCUAAUACCGCAUAUUCCAUAGAUAUCACAUGAUAACAUUGGGCAAGGAGCACUCCGCUAAUAGAUGGCCUUGCGUCUGAUUAGAUAGUUGGUGGGGUAACGGCCUACCAAGUCGACGAUCAGUAGCCGGACUGAGAGGUUGAGCGGCCACAUUGGGACUGAGAUACGGCCCAGAAUCCUACGGGAGGGAGCAGUCGGGAAUAUUGCGCAAUGGAGGAAACUCUGACGCAGUGACGCAGCGUAUAGGAAGAAGGUUUUCGGAUUGUAAACUAUUGUCGUUAGGGAAGAGAAAGGACAGUACCUAAGGAGGAAGCCCCGGCUAACUACGUG
rnacentral:rRNA from 1 species